UUGGCCUUACCUCUGUCUUCUCGCGGUGGUCUUUAGCAGGCGUUGGGGGGCUUGUGCUGGUGGUUACCUAGGGCCGCAGAGCCGGCGUCCGAGUCAGCUGGUAGCAGUUUAAAAGAUUAAAGAGAGAAGAAGACGCGUAGUAUUGAAGACUUGGUUAACCCACUGCCAUUUACCUGGAAAAUGCAAGAGAGCGGCAUAAGUGACCAUGGCUUUGCAAUUCUCAGAAAAGCCUUGUCUAUCAAGCAGUUUUCCUGUGGGAAAAUAAGAGAUACUACAACUCCCUGUGGACCAAGCCUCUUUAGCUGCCCUCUAAACUUGCUGGUUGUUAAGAAAAGACUCUAUCUCACAGACUCAUACCUUAGAGAGUGACCUCAAGUUCUGUU